AAAGUCUCGUCGUAGAAGGUAAACCAGACCACUACGUAGCGAGUCUUGCAUUUCCGGCGGUAACAAGGGAGAUGAAGCGUAGACAGCGAAACAUUCGAGCCGAAAUCAAUAGGUGAACGUGAUAGCGCCGAAAUUCAUUAAGUCGUGUGUGCCGAUAGUUUUGUCCAGCUAGCAGGCAAUAGCGUCUGAAUGGUCAUACUGGUGAACUUCCCAGCCAGAAGCGCACACCGGAGCCGCAGGCGU
rfam:Xenorhabdus nematophila ATCC 19061 chromosome, complete genome